rnacentral:rRNA from 1 species
UUGACCCUACGGGAGGCAGCAGUGGGGAAUAUUGCACAAUGGGGGACACCCUGAUGCAGCGACGCCGCGUGAGUGAAGAAGUAUUUCGGUAUGUAAAGCUCUAUCAGCAGGGAAGAAAAUGACGGUACCUGAUUAAGAAGCCCCGGCUAACUACGUGCCAGCAGCCGCGGUAAUACGUAGGGGGCAAGCGUUAUCCGGAUUUACUGGGUGUAAAGGGAGCGUAGACGGGGAUGCAAGUCAGAAGUGAAAGCCCGGGGCUCAACUCCGGGACUGCUUUUGAAACUGUGUGAC